GGAAGGAAAACGAAGUAGUGUAAGGGAAUAGAAACCGGAAGUACUGUUUUAACCAGGGUAGUAAGGGAGCGGGGGGCAGUGAAGAGAGAAAACCGCUCUAUUGGUGAGAAAGCGCUUUGCUGGGAAAGGGAGCAAAGGGUAAAGGCCCUGAGGGAGGAGCCUUUCCAUAAAACUCAAAACGUCCGCUUUGUGGAGGCAGGUGUGCCAGACGGAGUCUGUCAGGUAGCCAGGGGCUAGGUCCUGUUGGAUUUUAUUCAACGAAAUUUAGGAGGAGCUUGAAGGAUAUUAGAGGAAUGAUGGGAUAUGUCUUAAGAUUUUAAAAGAUCCCUCUGAUUGCUGAUUGUGAAUAGACCAGAGAGGAGUCUUGGGGAUCGGGAGGUUGUAAGGGUGGGAGCAAAGAGACCAGGUAGGAGGUAACUGUACGUGAUGAAUAGGAUGCCAGUGUGGCUCAGGUGAAAUGAGCUAGGGAAAGAAUGAUAGCCACGGGGCAGAUCUGACAGGGCCUUGUAGAUCACGGAAUUCUUUGAAGAGUUGGGAGGCCCUGGGAAGAGUAACGUGGUCCCGCUUAAGUGUUACAAGGAAUACUCAAGUUGCUGUGUGAAUAGACCUAGAGGGGCAAGCACGGAAGCAGGCAGAGAGCGCAGUUACUGGGCUGGAGAGAGAGGAUGGAUUAGACUGGAGGUGGAGGAGGUAGUGGGAUUUGGGCUCUAAUUUGAAGGUAGAGCCACAGGUCUUGCUAACGGAAUACGGAGUAUGAGUGAAAGAAUGGUGGUGCUGUUUACUGAGCUGGGGAACGCGGUGGGAGGAGCAAAUCUGGCACAGCUAUGGUUUGGAGCAAGUUAAGUGUCAACUGUCUAGGAGACACCAGUGGGUGUUGAGUGGACUGUUGACCAUUCCAGCUUGGAGUUCAGGCCGGAGCAGUGAAAUUACAAGCCACGACUGUCUAGGUGGUAUUAAAACCAUGAACAUAGCUGGGAGGAGAGUACAGAUAAGAGUAGAAAGAUCUAAGGACCACGACCUGGAGUACUCCCACAUUUUUAGAUGGACAAAAGAAGGAAAAUCCAGCUUAGGAAACUGGAAGGAAGUGGCUGUUGAGUAAGAGGAAAACCAAGGGAUUGUGUAUCUGUAAAGCCAGUCGAAGAAAGUCUUUUUGAAAGAAGAAGCUGAUCACCUGGGUUGAAUACUGCUGAGAAGUGAGGUUGGAUUGACCUACUCACUAGUGGUGUGACCUCAAGCAAAGCAGUUGCUCUCCCUGGGCCACUGUUCCCUCACUUGCAAAGAUGGGCAGUCUCGGGGUCGUUAGGAAAUGUGAAAGUGCCUGGCACGUUAAAGUCAGAGUCGUACCCCCAUCCAGCCAGCACUGUGCCCCUCACAGGUCAGCCCUGAACGUCAAAGGAGAUGAAAGUGAGAAGGUGCUUUGUGUGCCGCACAGCGCCCUACAGAACCCAUGAGCUAAAGUCUCUGUUCUGCUGCAGGGUCUUGUCACCCCAAAUCAACUUUGAUUUCAAAGCUCAUAUGGAAGGGGUCUGGAAAAUUAAAGCUCCAGACUUGCUCCUGAACACUGGUAGAGACCGGAUGCAAGACUACAAGGCCCCAGAUAAGCAUGUGACCUGAACUGGGUGUGACAUGAUCCACCAAGCCACAUGCACCAUCAGUAGGAAGUUGAUGUGUACGAUGCCAGCAACCUUGAGCAGGUCCCAGGAGCACAAUGUUUACCCAAAGAAAUAAAUGCUUAUGUCCACACAGACGAUUGUCCCUCUAUGUCCCUAUCAGCUUUAUUCAUAAUGACUAAAGAUGGAAACAACCCAGAUGCCCACGAACAGAUGGAAGUGACAAAUGGUGGCACUUCCACACAAGGGACUUAGCAAUAAACAAAGAAUCACUGAGACACACUGCAACCUGGAUGAACCUCAGAGGCAUUACAGCAAAUGAAAGAAGCCAGACACAGCAGAGGACAUGCUGCGCUACUCCAUUUCUGUGAAAUUCUAGAUCAGGCAAAGCUAAUCUACAGUGACAGAGGACAGAUCCCUGGUUGCCUGCCAGGGUGGGGACGGGGCUGACUACAGGGGACAUGGUGGGGACUCUGUAUCUUGAUGGGAUGGUUGGUCACAAGGGUGUGUACAUUUGCCAAAACUCAUUAAACUGUACACUUGAAAUGGA